rnacentral:rRNA from 1 species
CGGCUUAAGUGCCAUAACGAGCGCAACCCUUGCCAAUAGUUACUAUCAGGUUAUGCUGAGGACUCUAUUGGGACUGCCAUCGUAAGAUGCGAGGAAGGUGGGGAUGACGUCAAAUCAGCACGGCCCUUACGUCCGGGGCGACACACGUGUUACAAUGGGGGGUACAGAGGGUUGCUACCUGGUGACAGGAUGCUAAUCUCAUAAAUCCUCUCUCAGUUCGGAUCGUAGUCUGCAACUCGACUUCGUGAAGCUGGAUUCGCUAGUAAUCGCGCAUCAGCCAUGGCGCGGUGAAUACGUUCCCGGGCCUUGUACACACCGCCCGUCAAGCCAUGGAAGCCGAGGGUACCUGAAGUACGUGACUGCAAAGAGCGUCCUAGGGUAAAAUUGGUGACUGGG